rnacentral:tRNA from 1 species
AGUGCCAUGCCAGAGAAAUGGGUUAUCUUGAUGUGGUAAAUUAUGAAGGUGCCAAACCCUUCUGGUGCUA